GACGAACGCUGGCGGCGUGCUUAACACAUGCAAGUCGAACGGAAAGGCCCUGCUUUUGUGGGGUGCUCGAGUGGCGAACGGGUGAGUAACACGUGAGUAACCUGCCCUUGACUUUGGGAUAACUUCAGGAAACUGGGGCUAAUACCGGAUAGGAGCUCCUGCUGCAUGGUGGGGGUUGGAAAGUUUCGGCGGUUGGGGAUGGACUCGCGGCUUAUCAGCUUGUUGGUGGGGUAGUGGCUUACCAAGGCUUUGACGGGUAGCCGGCCUGAGAGGGUGACCGGCCACAUUGGGACUGGGAUACGGCCCAGACUCAUACGGGAGGCAGCAGUGGGGAAUAUUGCACAAUGGGCGGAAGCCGGAUGCAGCAACGCCGCGUGCGGGAUGACGGCCUUCGGGUUGUAAACCGCUUUCGCCUGUGACGAAGCGUGAGUGACGGUAAUGGGGAAAGAAGCACCGGCUAACUACGU
rnacentral:rRNA from 1 species